GAUGAACGCUAGCUACAGGCUUAACACAUGCAAGUCGAGGGGUAACGAGAGGAAAGCUUGCUUUCCUUGUCGACGAACGGCGCACGGGUGAGUAACGCGUAUCCAACCUGCCCCCAACUAGGGAAUAACCUUGCGAAAGUAAGACUAAUACCCUAUAAUUUCCUCAGAUGCCAUCUGACGAGGAAUAAAGAUUUAUCGGUUGUGGAUGGGGAUGCGUCUGAUUAGCUUGGUGGCGGGGUAACGGCCCACAAAGGCAACGAUCAGUAGGGGUUCUGAGAGGAAGGUCCCCCACAUGGGAACUGAGACCCGGUCCAAACUCCUACGGGAGGCAGCAGUGAGGAAGAUUGGUCAAUGGGCGGAAGCUUGAACCAGCCAAGUAGCGUGCAGGAUGACGGCCCUAUGGGUUGUAAACUGCUUUUAUACAGGAAUAAAGUUAGCCACGUGUGGGUAUUUGUAGGUACUGUAUGAAUAAGGACCGGCUAAUUCCGUGCCAGCAGCCGCAGUAAUAC
rnacentral:rRNA from 1 species